rnacentral:rRNA from 1 species
AAGCGGAGGAAAAGAAACCAACAGGGAUUGCCUUAGUAACGGCGAGUGAAGCGGCAAAAGCUCAAAUUUGAAAUCUGGCACCUUCGGUGUCCGAGUUGUAAUUUGAAGAAGGUAACUUUGGAGUUGGCUCUUGUCUAUGUUCCUUGGAACAGGACGUCACAGAGGGUGAGAAUCCCGUGCGAUGAGAUGCCCAAUUCUAUGUAAAGUGCUUUCGAAGAGUCGAGUUGUUUGGGAAUGCAGCUCUAAGUGGGUGGUAAAUUCCAUCUAAAGCUAAAUAUUGGCGAGAGACCGAUAGCGAACAAGUACAGUGAUGGAAAGAUGAAAAGAACUUUGAAAAGAGAGUGAAAAAGUACGUGAAAUUGUUGAAAGGGAAGGGCUUGAGAUCAGACUUGGUAUUUUGCGAUCCUUUCCUUCUUGGUUGGGUUCCUCGCAGCUUACUGGGCCAGCAUCGGUUUGGAUGGUAGGAUAAUGACUAAGGAAUGUGGCUCUACUUCGGUGGAGUGUUAUAGCCUUGGUUGAUACUGCCUGUCUAGACCGAGGACUGCGUCUUUUGACUAGGAUGUUGGCAUAAUGAUCUUAAGCCACCCGUCUUG